UACGGAGGGAGCUAGCGUUGUUCGGAAUUACUGGGCGUAAAGCGCACGUAGGCGGCUUUGUAAGUUAGAGGUGAAAGCCCGGGGCUCAACUCCGGAACUGCCUUUAAGACUGCAUCGCUUGAAUCCAGGAGAGGUGAGUGGAAUUCCGAGUGUAGAGGUGAAAUUCGUAGAUAUUCGGAAGAACACCAGUGGCGAAGGCGGCGUUCUGGACUGCAACUGACACUGAUGAACGAAAGCCAGGGGAGCAAACGGG
rnacentral:rRNA from 1 species